UUUAUUGACUUAUAUUGACGUAUAAUAUUGUAUAAGUUGCAGGUGUAAAAUAUAGUGAUUUACAAUUUUUGAAGACUAAAUUCCAUCUGUAGUUACUAUAAAAUAUUGGCUAUAUUCCCUGUAGCUUACUUAUUUAUACAUGGUAUUUUGAACUUCUUAAUUCCUUACCCCUAUAUUGCCCCUCCCCACCUGCCCUCUCCACACUGGUAACUACUAGUUUGUUCUCUAUAUCUAUGAGUCUGCUUGUUGUUGUUGUUGUUAUAUUCAUUAGUUUUUUGUUUUGUUGUUUAGAUUCCACUUAUAAGCGGUAUCAUCAAUAUUUGUAUUUCUCGGACUUUUUUUUCACUUAGCAUAAUGCCAUCCAAGUCUAUCAUCUCAUGGCCUUUAGAUCUCCCAGGUCCAUCAAUAGCCUCUCUCUCAGGAUUACUUCAUUUCUGUGUCAUCAGAGAGAGUGCCAACCACACCCGUGGGCCAGGCAGGAAGCACGCACCUGAGCAGAAAGAGUGAGCUCCUCCCCAUCCUCUCUGGUCUGGAUGAUACAGACCUCAUAUGUACCGAGAGUGAGUGUUUAGAGAAGCAGAUUUAGCUUUAUCCCGUCAGUCUGAAGAGCCUGUCCUCCUUGGGCUUUUGCUAGCAGAGCAGCAGAAUAAGACUACUCCCCAGCACCUUAUCACUGCCUUCAUCAGCGCAGCCAGCACCCACACCGGGGUCUUCUGGGCUGUGCAGACUGGGGAGCAGGUGAGGUAGUUACAUUUCCUGGAAAUACAGGCAGCAACUUCCUGUGGCUUCCUCUGUUUUUGAUGUAGAGAUGAGCACACGUAAAAUACUAAACACAUCAAGGAUCAGAGCGUCAGUCAGAGGUGGUGCAAAGGCUAAAAAAUACUGUCAUUUCUUCAUAAACAGAUUCAGAAGUGCAAAGUAGAGACCAGCUUCCAAAGAGCACUCUUCCUGCUCAGAAUCUGUACAGUAGGGUUGUGAGGUCACAGGAAGAUCACAAGCUAACCUUCCACGCCUAUUCUUCUAUCUAUGACUUGCUGUUGGAGUGGAUGAACAUUUAUUUCAUGAACUGAGACCCAAGUGAAUAAGAACCAAAUUUCCAUGAAGGCCGAUGUUUUGCAUACACCUUCACCUAAAAAAGCUCUGAUCUGGUCACAGGACUUCAGUGGAGGUUUCUCUAGAAUUUGGGGCCUGGUCAGAAAAAAUUCACUCUCUAAAGUGGAAAGUCAUAGAAAGAUCAGAUGAAACUUAACAGUUUACAUUACUAUCCUAAGAGACAGUUCAGGAUUAAAUAAAGCCAUGCACAGUGCAACUGGGAAACAGCCAGCCCAACGGGAGAUGACCACAAUGUGUCCUUAGUACCAAAAUGAAGCAAAAGAUAUCUUGGGAGUUCCCGUUGUAGCGCAGUGUAAAUGAGUCCAACUAGUGACCAUGAGGUUGCAGAGGUUUGAUCUCUGGCCUUGCUCAGUGGGUUAAGGAUGCGGCAUUGAUGUGAGCUGUGGUGUAGGUCACAGACGAGGCUCAGAUCCUACAUUGCUGUGGCUCUGGCUUUGGCUGGCAGCUGUAGCUCUGAGAUUCGACCCCUAGCCUGGGAACCUCCAUAUGCCAUGAGUGCAGACCUAAAAAGCAAAAAACAAAACAAAACAAAAAAAAACAAAAAAAACCUAUCGUGGCCAAUGCUGCCAUAACCUGCCAAAGACAGAGGAAGAAGGGUGUGCAGGAUGCACAGGGUUCAUACAAAUCAGAGCAAACGCAAAACGGUUCUGGAGGCAGGGAACCUAGUUUCGAAUUCUACCUUUGCCAUUCCCUGGCUGAGUGACCUUGACCAAGCACCUUAAUCUCUCUCAACUUCUGCUUCCUCAUGUGAUUUUUGCUUGUCCAUCACUGGCUCCUCUUCCUACCAGAAAAAAUGCCCCUCCAAACCCACCGGGGUACUCAGCAUCUCAGCUGUCAUGUGACACAAAGACUGCUUAGUUGCAAGACACAGUUAAACUUUUUUCACUCAACUUAGUCUGGUGCUUGCAACCAAAAAAAAAAAAGUGGUAAAUACACCUUAUUUGUAAGAAUUGCUAUGAGAAUUAAGUAACAUAAAGGAAAUAUGAGAAAGGCUGGCUGGUUGCAUUCCUGCAAAGGUGGUCGGCAAAAAUGCUAGAGUCCGACUGCACAGGUUCCAAUCCCAGCUCCCAUCACAAGGUAACUCUACAUAAAUUGCUUAACAUCUUUGUUCUCUAGUUCCUCGUCUGUAAGAAUGGAGUUCAGAAUAUUUACUACAUCGUAGGGUUUUGAGGAUUGAGUCAACAGAGGUAAAGCCUUCACCAAGGCACCUGACACACAGGAGUAAAUAUUCAAUAAAUAUUAACUGUCAUGAUUACAAAGGAAGAAUGGCUCUAACUGCUAUUAAGAACUGUGUGAAAGUCACUGAUCUAGAGUCACUUAUCUUCCAUAAGGUAAGAAUCUUUCUUCCAGAUAAUCCAGCUUGAAGGAAAAUCCCUUAAGGACAAUUCGAAAGAAUUCUAUUCCUCAUAUUAGAACUUUGCUAGCUCUAAUUAAUGUUCAGCCCCCUGAGUAAACUUACUGACCAAGAGGAUAUGGCCUGAGCAAAUGACCCACAUCAGUUGUGCUGCCUGACCAUCCUCUUUCUCACCGUCAAGACAUCUCCGUUAAGAAUUAAUCCAUCAUGAGUUUAACUGUAAAUCUUGCAAGUCACAUCUCCCAGAACUGAUGCUGGUUCGUGGCUCUCCCCCAGGGCUACUCCUCUGAUCAACCAGCCAGCCUCCAUCUUGCUGAAAUCCGUGUUAAUUGCAACUCAAGCCUAUUUUACGAAGAAAUUAAACACAGCAUCUCCUUCACUUCUGCUUUGCAUGUGAUAGGACCGCUAACCCAGUCACUCAUUCAUUCAUAUGAUACAUUUUUAUUGAGCACUAAUUAUGCGUCAGCUGCUGGACUAGGUGCUGGAGAGGACACAAACCAGAAACAGUCUUCAAGUUGCUUGGAGUCUACUGAAGAAGGUGAGUCCACUGCAAACGGAGGGAUGGGACUGAGGUGCCCCUGAGGCCUGAGGGAGGCUCAGGCUUACAGGGCAGGGCCCAUUAAGAAGCCAUGCCUUCAGCACAAAGCAUUUGAGAAAGCAGAGGUUUGUCUAGAGUGCAGAAAGGGUGGAGGGGGGAAGGGUGUUGGCUGGAAAGACAUGCAGGUCUUAAACACGCUGGGACAGUAGGUGCCUUGUGACGGGUAUGUGCUCUGCUAAGGAAGAGAAGUCUUUGAAAGAUUUCAGUUAUGACAAGGCUCAGUUUUGCCUUUAGAAAGAGCAUUUUGAUUGGCAGUAUGGAAGAUGAAUGAAGGGGCCACUGUGGAGACCAGGAGGCGUGAAGUAAAGAAACGGUAUUUACUUAGAAAUGGUAAAGCUGGAAUACAGGGGGGUAAAGGAUGGAGUGAAAAAGAGAGACUCUG
rnacentral:lncRNA from 1 species